CUGGGAUGUCAGGAUCCUGGAGCCGCUGUCACCUCUGCACUAGGGCAGUGUUCUGCACCCCGCUGCUGCUGGCUGACAUUCUCCACCUUUUGGCAAAAGGA